rnacentral:rRNA from 1 species
AAGUCUGACGGAGCAACGCCGCGUGAGUGAUGACGGCCUUCGGGUUGUAAAGCUCUGUUAAUCGGGACGAAAGCCUUCUGCGAAUAGGGAGAAGAUUGACGUACCGGAAUAGAAAGCCACGGCUAACUACGUGCCAGCAGCCGCGGUAAUACGUAGGUGGCAAGCGUCGUCCGGAAUUAUUGGGCGUAAAGCGCGCGCAGGCGGAUCAGUCAGUCUGUCUUAAAAGUUCGGGGCUUAACCCCGUGAGGGGAUGGAAACUGCUGAUCUAGAGUAUCGGAGAGGAAAGUGGAAUUCCUAGUGUAGCGGUGAAAUGCGUAGAUAUUAGGAAGAACACCAGUGGCGAAGGCGACUUUCUGGACGAAAACUGACGCUGAGGCGCGAAAGCCAGGGGAGCGAACGGGAUUAGAUACCCGGUAGUCCUGGCCGUAACGAUGGUACUAGUGUAGAGUAUCGACCCUUCUGUGCCGAGUACGCAUAGUACCGCUGGGAUCACGCAGUGAACUCA